rnacentral:rRNA from 1 species
GAGACAGCCUACGGGUGGCUGCAGUGAGGAAUAUUGGUCAAUGGACGCAAGUCUGAACCAGCCAUGCCGCGUGAAGGAUGAAGGCGUUUGCGUCGUAAACUUCUUUUACCUGGGAAGCGGUACCAGAGGAAUAAGCACCGGCUAACUCCGUGCCAGCAGCCGCGGUAAUACGGAGGGUGCGAGCGUUAUCCGGAUUUACUGGGUUUAAAGGGUGUGUAGGCGGGCUAUUAAGUCAGCGGUGAAAUCUUCGGGCUCAACCCGGAAACUGCCAUUGAUACUAUUAGUCUUGAAUACUGUGGAGGUAUGCGGAAUGUGUCAUGUAGCGGUGAAAUGCUUAGAGAUGACACAGAACACCGAUUGCGAAGGCAGCGUACUACACGUAUUGACGCUGAGGCUCGAAAGCGUGGGGAUCAAACAGGAUUAGAUACCCCUGUAGUC